rnacentral:rRNA from 1 species
GACAGAGGGUGCAAACGUUGCUCGGAAUCACUGGGCGUAAAGGGCGUGUAGGCGGGAAGGAUAGUCAGAUGUGAAAUCCCUGGGCUCAACCCAGGAACUGCAUUUGAAACUCCCUUUCUUGAGUGUCGGAGAGGAAAGUGGAAUUCCUGGUGUAGAGGUGAAAUUCGUAGAUAUCAGGAGGAGCACCGGUGGCGAAGGCGGCUUUCUGGACGACAACUGACGCUGAGGCACGAAAGCGUGGGGAGCAAACAGG